CCGGGACGUGGAAGUGGCUUAGAUUAACUUGUUCGACCCAUCAAAAUGGUAUUUGCGCAAACGGGAUUCUGUGUGUUGACCACAUAAAUAUUCAUAACUUCGUGGUCGUGCCCAAGCAUAGACUCCACUCUGCCAGCCUGGACCAUCACGUGGCCACAGCGUGGAGCCUGUUAUUUACCAGACACUGUGUUGGGACACCUUGGAGAGGGGCUCCGCCAAGAAAGGGUUUUUCUCACAGUGAUUCGUCCAGCCCUCUUGCACUCCUGUGACUGGCCCUGGGAAGAUCAUGCUCCAGAUCCCUGCUUCCCUUUAUCCUAAAAUGAAAGAGACUGGAACUCAUCCUCUGGCCUAAAGCAGAGCUGCCCCACUGGCCUACAGGCCUGUGAGUGAGAAAUGCUUGCUGUGGCAAACCACUGAGAUCUGAGGGUGUUUGUUACCCCACAUCAUCUCAGCAGCAGCUAAGAUAAGUUACUACAAAGUACAGUUUGCUCAACUUGAGGACUUUCUGUGAACUCUACUAGCAUUUGGGGAGCUGCCCCCCACUCCAGGGAUAAAGCAAGAGAGGACUCCUUUGUUGCCUAGGACCCGAGUCCUGCA